AACCCAUGGUAAGGGCACCUUCUCAAUAAGUCCUUAUACCUCUCUCAUGCAUCAUAUAAAGUCUCUAAAUCUAUUUUCACGAAAGACGAGAUAUCGUUCUUCAACCU
rfam:Gossypium hirsutum cultivar TM-1 chromosome 12, whole genome shotgun sequence